ensembl:lncRNA
GGAGCCCGGGCCCGGGAGCCUCCCCGCUUACCGCACUAGGAAGUGACGCUUUCCCUGAGUCCCGGAGAGAAAGAAACAAAGUUUUUUUGGUGGUUUUUUUUUCUUCUUUCCGUUUUUUCUCUCGCUCGGUGGUCUUUCCUUCUGCGUUUACUCUUUGCAAUCUGCAGCCCCGGAGGCUCCCGCCGUACCUCGCAGCGCAGUGUAAAAGCAAUGCAGAGUAUCAUAACACCUCAGUAUAUCUGGAGACAAGACACAUUAUCUUCUGGGAAUUAUGGUAUCAGAACUGGCAUUGUGCUUUGUUUGAAGGUCUCUGAGAUUUAAGGCCAUUUAGUUGAUACCUGCAAAUGGUGCUUUACUGAAGGUUUGCCCCAUAAUUCUUGAUGACCAGCUCAGCUCAGGUGGGAAAGUCCCAAAUGUUUUGCAAAAUCCUUGCUGAAGUACAGAGCUAUAAUUGUUGUUUAUGCCUGUGCCUCUGAGGCCUGAGAAUUAAGUCCAUUCAUCAAAGGAAACUAGAUUUUAU